rnacentral:lncRNA from 1 species
ACCAACUUAUUUGACCCAUAGUUAACUCACGAUCACUUCUUCGCCCACCUCGUACUUCAAAACUUCUCGAUCGAUCCAUAUCGCCCGCGACUCGACCACCACAAAGAUACUCUACCAUUCUCUCUCUUUUUUUUUAACGGGUUUCUACAUUCUCCCCCCCUUAAUAGAAUUCGUCCUCGAAUUCUUAGUUGCGCAAUGCUCGUCUUCACAACAUUCUCCACUCGUUUCCAUAACCUCUUUACUCUGUCCACAACUGUUCCUUGAGUGUCCUCUUCAAGGUCUCCACAAUCAUCUUCAUAUCUCAUCGCUGGAAUGAUCACUGAGUCAUCCUCUUUCUUUUACUCUUCCAUAACACCCUCAUUGCCCAUGAUACUAUCUUGUCCAGAUUCCUCAAAUCCUUUCUUGAUCUUCGUCUUCCCAAAUACUGAUGAAGUCCUUCCCCAACGAAGUCUUGUUUCCUCCCAUCUGUCCA